rnacentral:snRNA from 1 species
GUGUUAAGUACAUAUACUAAAAUUGGAAUGACACAGAGAAGAUUAGCAUGGCCUCUGCGCAAGGAUGACACACAAAUAAAAAAAACAGUAUU